GGGGGGAGCAAGCGUUGUUCGGAUUUACUGGGCGUAAAGGGCGCGUAGGCGGCCACCGCAAGUCGACUGUGAAAUCUCCGGGCUUAACCCGGAAAGGUCAGCCGAUACUGCGGGGCUAGAGUGCAGAAGGGGCAACUGGAAUUCUCGGUGUAGCGGUGAAAUGCGUAGAUAUCGAGAGGAACACCUGCGGCGAAGGCGGGUUGCUGGGCUGACACUGACGCUGAGGCGCGAAAGCUAGGGGAGCGAACGGGAUUAGAUACCCCGGUAGUCCUAGCCUUAAACGAUGAAUGCUUGGUGUCUGGGGUUUUAUAGUCCCCGGGUGCCGUCGCUAACGCUUUAAGCAUUCCGCCUGGGGAGUACGGUCGCAAGACUG
rnacentral:rRNA from 2 species